ensembl:lncRNA
GGCCAAUCAGAACACGGGGGUGUGUGUGGUUGGGCGUGGCCUGUCUGUGUUGCUGUGAAAAUGUCGAUGGACAGGGUUUUUGUUUUUUCCAUUAAAGCGAGGCAGCACGGUGGAUUUCAUAAUAACUGGUGGCUCGGUGGGAGGUAAUGGCAGCGGUGACGAGGUGGCAAAGAGACCGGACGUGUUGCGAAAGACGCGGUAGGCCGUCGACCCUGCCGAGAGACACUGUUUUACUUCCAAGUGUACUUGAAAUACAGUCUAACGUCAUUUAUAUGGAUACAGGUUACAAGGGUGGUCGGUCGGUUGUUUUUAGGGACUCGGCUGAUUUAAUUAUUAUUUUGUUUAAAACUAUUACAAGGUUGUUUUGUUCUUUUUUUAUUUUAUUUAAGGACAUCGAUAAUUGUUUUUUUUUUUUUUUUACUUUAUUGUCGCGAUCUAGGCUAGUGCGCAAUUCCCAGCGUUGUUUCCGACGUCAUCCGGAAAUAAGCAGGAUAUUUGAUCACAGCUGUUUCCUUAUAAAACAUGACUGAGCUGAUUUAUGCCUGAUUUCCCAGCGCCGGGGCAGCGGAGGAGGGUGGGAUGGAGAGGUGUUCCUGCAGGAGGAUGUUGCGCACUUCAAUUUACCUCAGGAGUGAGUGGUCUCUACAUCCACGCAGAACUGCGCAAUCAUUUCGCUUAUGUUGUAGCUGUUGUCUUGUCUAUUAUUUGAUUUGAUUGUAUAUUUGAAUGCAGUUUAUUAAACUUGUUAUAUCCCUUUGAAGGUUAACAUUGUAAGUUGCAGUAUAAGUUCGUAGAAUACGUUGUAGAGGGAGGGAAAUUCGUUUUAACUAGUAUUCAGUUUUUAAAAAAAGGAAGCAUUUGUAAGGAAACAUUUUUUGUUGUUGUUACCUUUUCAAGAAAUUUAAAUGAUUGUGUCACUAUUGCAUCUUUCAGAGUGCGUCAUGCUGUAUCUGGUUAAUACCCUUCCCAGCCAAGCAUACUGUAUUCAAACCGUAACAUUAGUGAAGAAAUGUAAAAUAAGUAAGGACUUAAUUCAACAGUAUUUUGUUGGCUAUGGACCUAAAGUUAAAAUCAUCUGAGAUUGUUUUUCCCAUCGUGCAUUGUCAGAAAUAGAUUGCCUUCAAAUAGCUUAGUUUAAAGAAAAUCCGCUCUGGUUGAUUUUUCUUCCCCCUGUUUUGUACAGUUUGUAAAGCUUAAGUGCGUGUGCUUCAUGGGCCGAUACCUGGACUCGGCUCCAUCCAUCCAGAGGUUUCUAUGUCAUACGCACUUUUUAUUCCUGAUGUAAACAAACCCUCCAACAUGCAACACCGCUACCCAUCACAGGGGGGGAGUAUUUCUUAAGGCUUGGAUCUUUUACCGUGCAUGAAGUUAUUGGAAAGUCUUUAUUAAUGCAACCCGACAGAGGGAACAUGAAAAUGUCACAUUUAAAUCUGAACACAUUUAAUUUAUCUGACUCCAUACAGCACUGUGAUGCCAGAAACUACUAAUCUGAAGCCUAAAGGAAACAUUUGAAUCACUGUAAUAUGUUUGUCAUGAAAUAACGCCUGUGAUAUCCUCAGGACCUGACGGGGAUGAAGCUCUUCUUUUUUGUCAUGCAGUGCUGGAACACGUGCCGACCCAUCCGCAGUCUUCUGAGGGCUUACUGGAAACAAGUCCUGUGAAAUGAAGCCGUGGGCUCCAGUGGGGAAGUAGAACAUAACACGUUUCAGGAACAGAAAAGGUGUUUUCCUCCCAUCUCCCCACAGCCCCUUCAGCCGGAUUUACAUGACACAUGAUGCAUCAUCCAAUCAGGGAACCGCUACAUUCCUGGUGAACCUUCAAUACAACACACUAGGUAGAACAAAUGUCUUCUUUUAAUCUUCUUGUCAUUCCACAAGAUUCAUUAUUGGGUUAACUGGAUGUAUUAUUUGGAACAGAAACGGGAUCAAGCGGCAUUCUUUUGAGCAGAGCUACAGCGCGAAGCACCACGAACGGAAAGAGGAAGUACAUUUGCGGUAGGCCUCUUCGUGGUAAAACUGCCAACCUACAUGUGGGCAUUAGGAAAGCGUCACGUUAGGACCUAAACGGAGCACCUCGUGCUUAUCGCCCUUGUUGCGGACGGCGAGACAAGUGGCAUCCCUCAUUAGAACGCCGCCCGGUGGUGCUUAUGCAACCGAUCCACCGGGGCGAUGUGCCUUUAAAAGCAGUUGGCUGUCAGGUGAUCGAGGAGGCUCCGUCAGCUCAGCCUCACGGGCAGACGAGCCAGUGCGUCUCUAGCCGAGAGGAGUGCGCCAGAGAGUGAGGGGGGGGAGGGACCCAAAUACAAGGGGACAGGGGGUGGGGGGCAAAUGGGGACACAGCAGCGUCACACAGUUGGGGACAGGAAGCCACGGUGGUAGGGUCCCUUUUUACCUGCAGUCUGCUCAUGCUCACUUGCCGUGCGUGCGGGCUAGCUAGCUCCUGUGUGUUCCAUCUUGGUGAAGAAGUUGUCGUCGUGAGAGCCACAACCGUGGUGCGAAAGCACAGAGAAUUAAGUGCUGCGUCACAGUCGGUGGACGAGGAAUAGCCUGCGUGUGUGUGUGUGCGUGUACAUGCAGACAUGCGCACAUACACAUGCAUUUGUGCGGGUUCUGCUUUGUGUGUGUGUGUGUGUUAGCUUCUAGUAGCAGACUAAAGGCAGUUCUGUUGCAACAAGAUGAAAAAUGGAGAGUGCGUGUGUUUGAGAGGACAGCAGAGAGGGAGGGAGGGAGAGAGAGAGCGAGACGGGGAGAGAGACAGAGAGCGGUAAAGAGAGAGGCAGAGAGAGAUUUUGGAUUAGUUGCUACGUCACUUUUUCAUGUCAGGAGAAACGGAAGCUGAGAUAACCGAGGAGCCCACAGUCAUCGAGUUUUCUUUUUUCAACCGAAAUCGCCACAGUGGUUUCGGACAACCUCGACUUCCUCCUCCUCUUCCUCCUUCCUAGUUUUGUUUUCAUCUGCCCGUCUGGGUGUGUGCAUGUGUGUGUGCGCGGUGUGUGUGUUUGUCUGUUGUUUUUUCUAGGUUCUUUGAGGUGGUAUCGGGAGUUUCAACAUGGAUGCUGAAGAUGUGACACAGUUUCUCUAGGUCUUGGUAAGAUGUGUGCGCGUGCGUGUGUGUGUGUGUGGUCUGGGUGGGCAGAGGUGCGACAAAGGGGUUAACAUAAGAAUAUUCUGGAGGGUUCUCAAUAUCACAACGCAGCUCGGUGUGGAAUGUUUUGCUGAGACUGAUUAGAGGCAUUCAAACAUUUCUUCUUUACAUCACCUUAAGGAAUACGAAUGAUUCCAUUGGUGAAUACAAUCGUGCAUCGUGCCGUCUGACCUAUCAUUAUGAAACCGUAUUCGACGUCUAAUACACCAUUUGACGGGGGUGUGCGCAGAUGCAGCCGGGCGGACAUUACGGUAGCCUUUAACAGGAUAUAACAACAGGAUAAGUUGGUGCUUUGACUUCGGCCAAAAGGGUAACCGCAUUUACGUCACUGCGUGUGUGUGUGUCUGCUCACACUGUUGACUGCUGUUAAAGGAAAAGAGUGCCUCCAUACAUGCCUGCUUCUCCAUGCUCAGAGACCGAUUGGGAUCCAGCUGUAAGCUGACAACGGAUCAGCUCGGUGUCUGUGUUUAGUGGCACCAACACCCUCUCGCCCCCCCCCGUCCCCGUCACCUCCCCACUCCAGGGCCACUGGGAUUUGGCAAAACCAUUGUCAAUACAUUUGUUUCUGCGUAGUUGGGAGGGACGGAGAUGGUGACGCAGUCUUUUUUUUUCUUUUUUUUUCUUCGGGGGCUGGACGUCUCUUCAGCCAGUACACCGCUGGUACCGAGCCAGAGAAGGGGGCUAAACGUCACGGCUCAGGAUCAGAGAGAUGGGGG